rnacentral:rRNA from 1 species
AGAACGAACGCUGGCGGCAUGCCUAACACAUGCAAGUCGAACGAGACCUUCGGGUCUAGUGGCGCACGGGUGCGUAACGCGUGGGAAUCUGCCCUUGGGUUCGGGAUAACAGUUGGAAACGACUGCUAAUACCGGAUGAUGUCUUCGGACCAAAGAUUUAUCGCCCAAGGAUGAGCCCGCGUAGGAUUAGCUUGUUGUGAGGUAAGAGCUCACCAAGGCGACGAUCCUUAGCUGGUACUGAGAGGAUGAUCAGCCACACUGGGACUGAGACACGGCCCAGACUCCUACGGGAGGCAGCAGUGGGAAUAUUGGACAAGUGGGCGAAAGCCUAGAUACCAGCAAUGCCGGCGUGAGUGAGUAGAAGGCC